GACGAACGCUGGCGGCGUGCUUAACACAUGCAAGUCGAACGGAAAGACCCUGCUUUUGUGGGGUGCUCGAGUGGCGAACGGGUGAGUAACACGUGAGUAACCUGCCCUUGACUUUGGGAUAACUUCAGGAAACUGGGGCUAAUACCGGAUAGGAGCUCCUGCUGCAUGGUGGGGGUUGGAAAGUUUCGGCGGUUGGGGAUGGACUCGCGGCUUAUCAGCUUGUUGGUGGGGUAGUGGCUUACCAAGGCUUUGACGGGUAGCCGGCCUGAGAGGGUGACCGGCCACAUUGGGACUGAGAUACGGCCCAGACUGCUACGGGAGGCAGCAGUGGGGAAUAUUGCACAAUGGGCGGAAGCCUGAUGCAGCAACGCCGCGUGCGGGAUGACGGCCUUCGGGUUGUAAACCGCUUUCGCCUGUGACGAAGCGUGAGUGACGGUAAUGGGUAAAGAAGCACCGGCUAACUACGUG
rnacentral:rRNA from 1 species